UGUCUCUUCGAAGACAUUCUAUAAAUUAGAACAAUACAAAGAAGAUUAGCAUGGCCCUACGCAAGGAUGACAUGCACAAAUUGAGAAAUAAUCCAUUUUUUA
rfam:Zea mays cultivar B73 chromosome 7, whole genome shotgun sequence.